rnacentral:rRNA from 1 species
AUGAGCGCUAGCGACAGGCCUAACACAUGCAAGUCGAGGGGCAGCACAAGGAGCAAUCUGAGGUGGCGACCGGCGCACGGGUGAGUAACACGUAUGCAACCUGCCUGUAAGCGGGGAAUAACCCGUUGAAAGACGGACUAAUACCGCAUAAUACUAAAUUACUGCAUGGUAAUUUAUUUAAACAUUUAUGGCUUACAGAUGGGCAUGCGCAUGAUUAGCUAGUUGGAGAGGUAACGGCUCCCCAAGGCAACGAUCAUUAGGGGUUCUGAGAGGAAGGUCCCCCACACUGGUACUGAGACACGGACCAGACUCCUACGGGAGGCAGCAGUGAGGAAUAUUGGUCAAUGGACGAGAGUCUGAACCAGCCAAGUCGCGUGCAGGAAGAAUGUCCUUAAUGGAUUGUAAACUGCUUUUGCAGGGGAAUAAAGUGCAUCACGUGUGAUGUUUUGUAUGUACUCUGCGAAUAAGGAUCGGCUAACUCCGUGCCAGCAGCUGC